ACAAUGGCAGGUACAGAGGGAUGCUACCGGGCGACCGGAUGCGGAUCUCGAAAGCCUGUCCCAGUUCGGACUGGAGUCUGCAACCCGACUCCACGAAGUUGGAUUCGCUAGUAAUCGCGCAUCAGCCAUGGCGCGGUGAAUACGUUCCCGGGCCUUGUACACACCGCCCGUCAAGCCAUGGGAGCCGGGGGCGCCUGAAGUCCGGGACCGCGAGGACCGGCCUAGGGCGAAACUCGGUAACUGGGGCUAAGUCGUAACAAGGUACC
rnacentral:rRNA from 1 species